CGCGGCCUAUCAGCUUGUUGGUGGGGUAACGGCUCACCAAGGCGACGACGGGUAGCCGGCCUGAGAGGGUGAUCGGCCAAUUGGGACUGAGAUACGGCCCAGACUCCUACGGGAGGCAGCAGUGGGGAAUAUUGCACAAUGGGCGGAAGCCUGACGCAGCGACGCCGCGUGAGGGAUGACGGCCUUCGGGUUGUAAACCUCUUUCAGCAGGGACGAAGCGUAAGUGACGGUACCUACAGAAGAAGCACCGGCUAACUACGUGCCAGCAGCCGCGGUAAUACGUAGGGUGCGAGCGUCGUCCGGAAUUACUGGGCGUAAAGAGCUCGUAGGCGGUUUGUCACGUCGUCUGUGAAAUCCUAGGGCUUAACCCUGGACAUGCAGGCGAUACGGGCUGACUUGAGUACUACAGGGGAGACUGGAAUUUCUGGUGUAGCGGUGGAAUGCACAGAUAUCAGGAAGAACACCGAUGGCGAAGGCAGGUCUCUGGGUAGUAACUGACGCUGAGGAGCGAAAGCAUGGGUAGCGAACAGGAUUAGAUACCCUGGUAGUCCAUGCCGUAAACGGUGGGCGCUAGGUGUGGGGUUCCUUCCACGGGCUCCGCGCCGUAGCUAACGCAUUAAGCGCCCCGCCUGGGGAGUACGGA
rnacentral:rRNA from 1 species